CUAUCCGAAAGUUUAUGGCCGCUCCCGUAUCGGACGUUUCGGCGGAAUAACAAGGAACGAUAACGAAGCCAUGUCUACGAUAAAAUAAAAAUGUCUAGUGCAAAAACUAUUUACCAAACUUACCUUUGGUCCAGAGCACUUCUGGAAAAAGAUAUCGGGUCAAGUCAGUAUCCGUUUUAUUCCGUAGCGAUGAAGUGAAGUGAAGUGACGGAGUCCGAGAUGUCAGCAGCGUAAGAGCGUCGCGACGCAAGAGACAAGGAGCACGCAAGCCGUCACGCUCGCCCUCUUAAUUACCAAAUAAGCGUACAUGGAGAUGCGAGUCAGCAGUACGACGUGUAAGUUAAGGCAGUAACACACUGCGCGAUCCGCACAGUCCAGCUCAGCCCAACGAACAGGGACGUUAUCUCUGUCGACAUUAUAAAUUGGCAGCUGUGGCUGCUAUAGCGUUGCAUCAUGGAGACAGGAGGUGUCAAUUCUGAAAAUUAUGGACUCGCGCCGAGCGAGCACGUCAUGGGGUCGAAGAAAGUCGUUCGUCACUUAGAAGUCAUUCCUCAAUCGGGGUGCAGGCGUCCCUUACUCCCUUGAAGGCAGCCACAAAGCAGCAACUGAUAAUAACAACCCGCAGGGAACCCGUGGAACUGGCGAACGGAAUACGUGAGUCGUUUAUCGGUCAGCGAAAUCGGAAAACCUAUCGACUUCCCAUCAGGAAUAACUGCGCGCAAUAAAAUGACGGAAGGUUGAAGGAUUCACUGUAAAAAAUGUUCAACCCACCCGUUAGAGAAGUAGAACGUUCUUUGGUUAACAAGGAUGCGACGACUGUGCAAUUUCCUUUAGGAGUGCAGGGUUGCAUUUCCUUACCGGAAAAAGCAUGUAUAUACGUACAUAUAUAUAUUAUACCCUCAACUUCUCAAGUCUUAUUAAGAUUUGAAUUUCCAUUUCGCGCGACCGUAUCUGCUACCCUCCCCUACAUAGGUACAUACCUUCUUCCUCUCGAAGGUGGAUAUAAAAUUUCUCCGUGCUCCAAAAGGUCGUUCAGCCUUCGCCUUUGUAAACUAGACAAUUACCUUUGCUAACUAUCAAAAUGGCUGGCUCUGGUAACGUUACGAAAGCGAGAGACCGCGGGGAGAUUAACGAUCGUAAAGAACCUUCGCCUAGUAAUUUGGCUGGCGUUGCAGGCCAGCCAUAAAUCCAAGUGCAUAUCUGCGUCGUAAAGCGCGGUGGAACUCGCGGGACGCCGAAGGGGGACGUUCGUGGCACUGUGGGAGGGGGGAAGGGAGGGGAGGGUUCCUGGGAU